UACGUAGGGGGCAAGCGUUGUCCGGAAUCAUUGGGCGUAAAGCGCGUGUAGGCGGCUCGAUAAGUCCGCUGUGAAAGUCCAGGGCUCAACCCUGGGAUGCCGGUGGAUACUGUCGAGCUCGAGUCCGGAAGAGGCGAGUGGAAUUCCUGGUGUAGCGGUGAAAUGCGCAGAUAUCAGGAGGAACACCUAUGGCGAAGGCAGCUCGCUGGGACGUGACUGACGCUGAGACGCGAAAGCGUGGGGAGCAAACAGG
rnacentral:rRNA from 1 species